rnacentral:rRNA from 1 species
CCUACGGGAGGCUGCAGUGGGGAAUAUUGCACAGUGGGCGCAAGCCUGAUGCAGCCAUGCCGCGUGUGUGAAGAAGGCCUUCGGGUUGUAAAGCACUUUCAGCGGGGAGGAAGGCGUUAAGGUUAAUAACCUUGGCGAUUGACGUUACCCGCAGAAGAAGCACCGGCUAACUCCGUGCCAGCAGCCGCGGUAAUACGGAGGGUGCAAGCGUUAAUCGGAAUUACUGGGCGUAAAGCGCACGCAGGCGGUCUGUCAAGUCGGAUGUGAAAUCCCCGGGCUCAACCUGGGAACUGCAUUCGAAACUGGCAGGCUAGAGUCUUGUAGAGGGGGGUAGAAUUCCAGGUGUAGCGGUGAAAUGCGUAGAGAUCUGGAGGAAUACCGGUGGCGAAGGCGGCCCCCUGGACAAAGACUGACGCUCAGGUGCGAAAGCGUGGGGAGCAAACAGGAUUAGAUACCCCGGUAGUC